GGCCCCAAAAGGUGCUCCCGAGGGAAGAGGCCCUUUCUGGUUCUCCCCCAUCGAUCAGCCGCAGUUUCCACCCUGCAGCUGGACUGGAGAGCAGGCGGUGGUGAUGGAAGACAGGGGGUUGAGGAAGAUCUGGCCUAGUCUGUAAACUCCUGACCCCACCCUGGCCUGCACUGCCUUGUUGAUCUCGAGCUAUUUUAGGCCCCCGUUUCCUUCUCUUCCCACUCCCAUUCCCCCUCCUGCAUUCACCCCUCCUCCACUAGCUGCUUUAUGGGGCUCCGUGGGAGCUGGUUGGAAGCCUCACCCCACCCUUCUGUGGUCCUAAAGCUGGGGCUGCAGAGAUACCGGUCAGGAGUUGCCCCCCCCAUAACCCCAGGAAACUAAAAAUAAAGCAGAAACUGUA